CAACGUCCAUGACAGGGAGGCAGCAGGGUAGGGAAUUAUUGACAAUGGGCGCAAGCCUGAUCCAGCCAUGCCGCGUGUGUGAAGAAGGCCUUCGGGUUGUAAAGCACUUUCAGUCGUGAGGAAGGUAGUGUAGUUAAUAGCUGCAUUAUUUGACGUUAGCGACAGAAGAAGCACCGGCUAACUCCGUGCCAGCAGCCGCGGUAAUACGGAGGGUGCGAGCGUUAAUCGGAAUUACUGGGCGUAAAGCGCAUGCAGGUGGUUUGUUAAGUCAGAUGUGAAAGCCCGGGGCUCAACCUCGGAAUUGCAUUUGAAACUGGCAGACUAGAGUACUGUAGAGGGGGGUAGAAUUUCAGGUGUAGCGGUGAAAUGCGUAGAGAUCUGAAGGAAUACCGGUGGCGAAGGCGGCCCCUGGACAGAUACUGACACUCAGAUGCGAAAGCGUGGGAGCAAACAGGAUUAGAUACCCUGGUAGG
rnacentral:rRNA from 1 species